rnacentral:rRNA from 1 species
AGAGUUUGAUCCUGGCUCAGAACGAACGCUGGCGGCGCGCCUAAUACAUGCAAGUCGAGCGAGAAGGUGUAGCAAUACACUUGUAAAGCGGCGAACGGGUGAGGAAUACAUGGGUAAUCUACCAUCGAGUGGGGAAUAACCAACCGAAAGGUUGGCUAAUACCGCGUACGCCUCCGAGUCUUCGGGUUCGGAGGGAAAGCUGCACUGUGAGUGUAGCGCUCUUUGAUGAGCUCAUGUCCUAUCAGCUUGUUGGUAGGGUAACGGCCUACCAAGGCUUUGACGGGUAGCUGGUCUGAGAGGACGAUCAGCCACACUGGCACUGCGACACGGGCCAGACUCCUACGGGAGGCAGCAGUAAGGAAUAUUGCGCAAUGGGCGAAAGCCUGACGCAGCGACGCCGCGUGGGGGAUGAAGGUCUUCGGAUUGUAAACCCCUUUCGGGAGGGAAGAUGGAGCGAGCAAUCGUUCGGACGGUACCUCCAGAAGCAGCCACGGCCAACUUCGUGCCAGCAGCCGCGGUAAUACGAAGGUGGCAAGCGUUGUUCGGAAUUAUUGGGCGUAAAGGGUAGGUAGGUGGUCUUAUUUGUCUGGGGUGAAAUCCUUGAGCUUAACUCAAGAAGUGCCCUAGAAACGGUAAGACUAGAGUCCUGGAGAGGGUCGUGGAAUUCCCGGUGUAGCGGUGAAAUGCGUAGAGAUCGGGAGGAACACCAGAGGCGAAGGCGGCGACCUGGACAGUGACUGACACUCAACUGCGAAAGCGUGGGUAGCAAACAGGAUUAGAUACCCUGGUAGUCCACGCUGUAAACGAUGGAUGCUAGAUGUUGCGGGAGUUGACCCCCGCAGUGUCGAAGCUAACGCGUUAAGCAUCCCGCCUGGGGAGUACGGUCGCAAGACUAAAACUCAAAGGAAUUGACGGGGGCCCGCACAAGCGGU